GUACUUCAGUACUGGCUACACUUGCUUAGCAGCCUGAUGCCAUGGUGUUUACAGCAGGCAUUCCCUACCUGUUUCCUGGCUGGCUCCUCGGGCUGGUGUGCAACCAUUACCUGCCUUGGUUUUUCCAAGACCCCGCCCUUUGCCAGGGCCCUGACCUCUCCCUUUCGGAGUUUGUUUGGCUUUCUCUGUGCUGAAUCAUUUCAGCAUGCAAAUCCGACAGAAAAGGUUUGGUGUGAAAAAAGGUGUUUUUUCCUUCACCAUGCUGACCAGGAUCAACACAACCCCAGCCAAAUGCUCAGCAGGUGACUCAAGAACUGAAGCAGACACUGCCAGACCCUCCUGGAACCUCACUGAGCAUCCAGCCCAGCUUACUCCACCCUCUGGGAAUCUGGGCAGCCAGUGACAUCUUCCACCCAUGGACUAUCCUUGCAGCUCCUCCAUGCCUCUCUGCUUUCCCAAGUAUGUGCCACAUAACUUGCCAUUCUCAGCCAUAUGUGCCUUAACUAGAUAUUACAAGAUGACUUUUGCUUCUGAAGGAUAUUUUGGGAUAAAAUGGUCUUUGUAUUGUCUGACAGAAUUGUUCUUCAUUCAGUAGCAUACUUAAAUCUUCGUGUAGGAGAGAAAAUAUGUUUAUGAUUAUGAGGAUCAUUACCUUCAUGGCUGAAGAACUCACAUGGGAUAUGUGGGCUGUAAUCUCCUCAAGCUGCUCUGAGCCCCAGGUUACCACAUCUUGCUCUCUAACACAGGUUUUUGGAUAAAAGGGAGCACUGGCACUGGCAUGACUACUUUUUACCACCAAUAACACACUUUUUUUUCUUUUUUUGCUUAAGACUGCAAAAUAUUAGUUCACAAAGGAAUUCAUGGCAUGAAUUCCAGUUACACAGGGCCUUCUUUUCUGGCAAAUCUUCAAAAAUUACUUUAGCAGUAUCUGCUCCUUAGCUUAGUCCGUUCACCUAUCAGUUUCUGUUCAGAGACAGCAGCUUCAGUCUUGCUGAUACUCUUGGGGAUAGUGAGAUAUGCAAACCCUUGGGGUCAUGGUGCUUAGCUUUUUCAUGACUAUACCCUAUGUACAGACCAAGGUCCUGGCUGGAAAGGGCGCUUACACCUUUAAGUCCCUUAGAAACUUUUGAAUGUAUCAUUGCCUGCCAUAUUAGCUGAAAAAUGUUUUAUGCAGAAUGUGAUACUCCCUGCUUGCUUAAGGAUAUGUAAUCUGGACUCUGAACCCUGUGGUCACUGUGAAGCCUCCCAUUCACAGACAAGUUAAAGAGAUGUAGACCAAGAAAGCUCAUUGCAUUUUCUCUGGCAAAUGUAAUGUGAGACCCUUACAUAGUAGCUGAUCUAAUUUUCAUCAGACUCAGCUCACUAUUUUAGGAGGUUUCACUGGAGAAAGUAAAGGAAUUGCUUCCAUGACUGUAUUUCAGCAAUCAGCUUAAAAGAACAGGAGUUUUUGCAUGGUUAGCUUUAGUUCUGUUCUGUGACUGCCAGUUAAAAUUGUGUUUUCCUUGUGACUGUGGUGUUUGAGAAUUGCUAAAAAAUUGUAAGACCAUGCACAUUAGAUCUGAGAAUGUUCACAAUAAUUUUGUCCAUUUGCCCCGUCUGUACACUUGAAAUACAUCUCAUGAAGCAGAAUGGCAAUUUUAGUCACUGCAACUAUGUCUGCUCCAGCUUAACAGGGAUGGGGCAUGGGAUCAUCUGAUUUCUGUGUUCUUCUACUGUCCAUCUCCUUCCUAACUGCUGGUUAAAAGCUGCAAGUUUUUCUCUAGACACUGUUUUGGCUCAUGCUAGCCAGCACUGUCUCACAGGCUCACUUCAGGGAUGGUGUGUGCUAGGGGAUUGCUGCCAACAGGCAGGAAGGGUGAGGCCAUCCUGCAUGGGAGACAAGUACACAGUGGAGUCAGCUCUGUGGACAUCACCCUGCCAAUCCAUCUGUCCUUGGAGCAAUAGGGUGAGCCCUCAGUGAUUUUAUUCAUUAAUAUGGAUCUACAGAGGGCAACAGACCAAGGAUGAGAAAGAAUAUUCAGCAAGGAUUAGACCUUUUUUUUUCAGCCAGAGAAGGCUGAUCUAUCUAGACUUCUCAAAUAGUGGAGUAUAGAAAAAGUGUCCAAUUGAACAAGGUAAUUUGCUGUUUCACUUUUUUCCCCUCCAGAUUGCAUUCCCACUUGAUUUCACCCUGAUAUUUUAAGAGAGGUGGGAGAGGUGCUACUGUCAGGUGGAAAUGGUUAUGAUGAACAAAGGAGCAGCAAUCCAGGACUGUGCAGAGACCAGGGAAGACUGAAGACAAAAUAAAUAUUUACGAAGAACAGAAAAAAAAAAUGUAAAAUUGGUCAAUUCUUCCCUGUUUUAGACAUGAUUGAUAGUUUCUGAUUGAAUACUACUGAUUUCUGAAUUGAAAGAAAAAAAUUAACUAUCCAGACUACUUAGCUUCAUGUUUCUUUUUCAUUUUGAGUUGCACAUGUUAUAUUGGAUCAAAUUCAUAUGACAUUUGAUCUCAGAACAUGGUUUAAAGUUUUGUUUAAUAUCAGUUGGCUCAUUAAAUUGGCUUAAAGGUUUUUAUAUUCCUUUUGGGAUAUACAGCUAUGUUCAUUAAUCUUUAAUAAAUCAUAUAUCA
rnacentral:lncRNA from 1 species